AUUAGUUUGAGUUGGGUCUCCUGGCACUUACCACAGCAGCCCUUCUCCCUCCCAUCCUACAGUCAGGGAUCUCUGUUCCUGGCGCAUCCAAACCCAUGGCAGCCACAGCACUGUUAACUGCCCUUGAUGGCCAGCGGGCCAGGUCAGCCUUGGCUUGCUCUGUCUUCCCGGCCAAGUGCAUUUUCAUGUAACGCUCUUUUGCCUUCUGCAUCUCAAUCUCUUCUCGUUCUUUCCUCGAAAGCGCCUUUGGCCCAUCCAGAUCCAGUUGUGUGACCUUUUGGUUGUCUGUACCCGGUUGGGGUUCUCGAUGUCGAAGAGCCCUUCAAGGCCUUUGCGGUUUUGCUGGUAGUCAUCUUCUUCAUCCUCACUCUCAUCUGAGUCUAGAGAUUUCUUCUCCUUUUUGGGGUUACCUGCAGCCCCAUCUCCACCUUCUUUUUGCUCCUCUUCUUCCCUGGCCUUCUGCUUCUCAGCCUGCAGCUGUACGUCGAUCUCCUCAGGGCUCCUAUACUGCCUCGCCCGGCCUUUGUGGCCUCCCUUUCUCCCUCCUUUAGGCAUCGCGGCUCCGCGCAACAUUACUUUAAGCCACAGCAUUGCUAACUGAUGUUGUAUAUCUAGGUGGUAUUACAUUUAGUUCCUCAUUAAAAGAACCACACAAGGCUAAGAACGUCAGCUCCUUUAUUAUUAUUAUUAUUAUUAAUUAUUUACUGUUAUUUCCCCCUAAACAACAGCAUAACUCAAAUAAUAAUGACACACACGUCCCGCCCAUAUACACAAUACCACUAGCCUA
rnacentral:lncRNA from 1 species